rnacentral:rRNA from 1 species
AUGGGCGGUAUCGGUAGCAUUCACAACCAAGCUCAAGAAAAGUACAAUUUAUUUGUGACACCUCAAACGUCAAUUUGUAAUACCAUGGUGAGGGUGUCUAAACAGGAUCUACGUCUUUACAAGGCUAGGCUAACUUAUUCACUAAGAUGCUUGAGGUUUCUUUUGAACCAAGGAUUGGUAUUUCGUGGACAUGAUGAGAGUGAAGAAUCUAGCAAUAGGGGGAACUUUCUUGAACUUCUAAAAUGGCUUGCAGAAAAUGAUGAAGAAGUUGAUAAGAUUGUUUUGCACAAUGCUCCUGGAAAUGAUUCGGUCUACAUGCUUAUCAAAUUGGUAUUGAUCUUACCGGUGGCCACAGCGAGUGUUGAAAGAGUAUUUUCGGCAAUGACUCUAGUGAAAAAUAAGUUGAGAAAUAGUAUAAGUGAUGAUCUCAUGAACAACUGUUUAGUAACAUUCAUUGAGCGAGAUGUGUUCUUGAAAGUAAGCGAGGAAGACAUCAUUGAAGAUUUCAUGGCAAAGGAACGUCGUAGAGUUACUUAG